GCCGAACCGGACGAACGUUAUUCGGAAUCAUUGGGCUUAAAGUGUGCGUAGGCGGCCUUGUAGGUGAGGUGUGAAAUCCCACGGCUCAACCGUGGAACUGCGCUUCAAACCACAAGGCUUGAGUGAGGCAGAGGUAAGCGGAACUGAUGGUGGAGCGGUGAAAUGCGUUGAUAUCAUCAGGAACACCGGUGGCGAAGGCGGCUUACUGGGCCUUGUCUGACGCUGAGGCACGAAAGCUAGGGGAGCAAACGGG
rnacentral:rRNA from 1 species